GUAUCCUAUGAGCUAAAAAAAAGAAAAAGCUUCUUCAUUCUUCUAAAUAUCACUUACAGAAAAAGCUAAAUAGAUGGUUAUCCCAGCUAUUUUAGCUUUAUGCUUGCCUAGCUGUCCCAAGGAGGAAGAAAUAGAGAGUAUUUGAGUGAAAUAACAACGGGAAGGAGUUUUGUUCCAUGCAAGAACGUGUGCAUGUUUUCCUAAGGCCCAAGAUCCUGGAGUCAGCAAGAGAAAACACUUUUUUAGUCAUCCAGCUGUGGUAGUGCGACACUGGUCAUUGGCACUAGCAAGGAACAGAAAAAUAAUCAUGCCUCCUUAAUUUUCUUUGGACACAUCAUCAAAGCAGUUUUAUUCCUGAAGAUCUGGGGCACUAUCCCAGCCAACAGAGAGUACAAGCAGAAUGAACUCGGAAUAAAGUCCAAAUUUCUUCUCUACCAACCUGUGGAACCCCAAGCAUUGCCCUCAGGUAGUGAGAGGGGAAAAGAAAUGGGAAAUUGGCAGGUCAUGUAACGUGCAUAAAGCCAUAGCAGAAAGCCAAACAACACCAUUUAAAGCUGUGACCGAGGAAUGUGUUGCCUUGAAGAGCUCUUCAGAGCAGGAGGUCUUGGUGCCAACACUGGCAUCCCACCUGUUCUGCAUGUUUGAUGCCUGAGACGUCAUGCAGAGGGACUGGGUGUGUCGUGGGACACAAAGCAUGUGGUGUUCCAUGCUUGUACACACAUAAAGUCUGCCGCUUUGUGGAAAUGCUGCAAAAGAACCUGGCUGUCAAUUUGAAUGUAAUAAACGUGGUGAUUUAUAACUGUUGAGAUCUGGUUCAGUAGCACUAAAGUUUCCACUGUGGGGUGGUGCAGGUAUUUGGACACCUAUUUUGGUAGAGAACUCAACCACCUCCAUUGAUUUUAUUGGGACAAGUUCCAUUCC